rnacentral:rRNA from 2 species
GGACUACCAGGGUUUCUAAUCCUGUUUGCUCCCCACGCUUUCGUGCCUCAGCGUCAGUUACAGUUUAGUGAGCUGCCUACGCAAUCGGUGUUCUGUGUCAUAUCUAAGCAUUUCACCGCUACAUGACACAUUCCGCCCACUUCAAAUGUACUCAAGGUCAUCAGUAUCAAUGGCAAUUCCCAAGUUAAGCUUGGGGCUUUCACCACUGACUUAAUAGCCCGCCUACGCACCCUUUAAACCCAAUAAAUCCGGAUAACGCUUGGGACCUUCGUAUUACCGCGGCGGCUGGCAC